rnacentral:lncRNA from 1 species
UGCUCCUUUGCCUGCUUGCUGCGUGAGACUGAGUAACUGCUAGAUCCUUGGACUUCCAUUCACAGCUGCGACUGAACAAUUGUUGGGAAUUCGGCUGCCGACUACCACUUGACUGCUCGGUCCUCUGCAGACAGUCCCAGGAGACACACAACCUGCUCCAAACACACUAGUUAAAGACCCAGAAGACCUCUGCCACACUAUCAAGCAGUGCCUUCUGGUGGCCAAAGCCGCAAGGCAGCUGACUGACCCUGGGAAAGUGCAGCCUGCAGAAGAGAGCCUCUGAGAGAGCUCCACCAGCUAGGGCCCAAGCCUUCAACGGAUGCAUGAGCCCAGGAGGACACUUCAUAUUCAAAUCUGCACACAAAUCUUGCUAUUCUACGCAACAAUCUAGAAAUCCUUCUCCUAUGACACAGACUCUCUAUUUCUGGGAACUUUGUGAUGGGAACCAAGAGGAACCAACACAAAGGCCGGGCUACGAGGAUGCACCUGACUUAGGGAUAAUGGUGAGACGCUAAAACAAGAGACAAGUCCAAAGUAGAAGCCUAAGUGACACCUUGCCCACACAAGGAAAGAAACCUGGGUAGCUCCUCAAAACUGCAGAAAUCAUCUAUUGUUGGGAAAGGUGUUCAAGAGCUCUCACAAGGUGGAAAUAUACAAGUCAUGGGUCGGAGUAUGUAAUAAAAUUUCAUCCUUAUAG